CCUAAGGGUGCGUUUGAUUCGAGUUAUCCUGGUAGGAUUACAGGCAAUCCUGCCAGGAUAACUGUGCUUGGUUAAUCCGCUAUGUAAUCUAAUCGUUAAUGUAGCAUUACAACUCGAGCAGGAUUACAUCGAAAAUAUUAACAGGAGGGGGGUCGUGUAUCUUCCAUUACGGAAACCCGUUAAUACUACAUAUAAUAUAAAAUGACAAUUUUACCCUCAAACAACCGCAAAUCUAAUUAACAGCAUUAUUUUUAUCUCUCUCUCGCCUUCCCCCUUCUCUCUCGCACACCGCUAACUCUCACACACACACACACACACACUCUCUCUCUCUCUAUGUGUGCCUCUCGCACGCUCUCUCUCUCUCUCUCUCUCUCUCUCUCUCUCUCUCUCGCAUGAACACCUAUCAUCUUCUAUUGCAUUGUCCUCCCAAUUAAUCAUCACGAUCUCUUCCCUCCAUUCGUCAUUUUCGCAAAAAAUAAUAUUCAAAUGAUCACAAUAAGGGCAAUUUUGAAAAAAACUAUACUUUUAUGUUAGGAUUGCUAAAUUUUAUAAACUGAACCAAACGUAUUAAUGCUAUAAACACUGUAAUUUAGUAUUACAUUACUGCAUUAAACCAAACGCGCUAAUACAGCAUCAGUAGUAAUCUCACGCCGAAAUCGAAAAUACCUGGAUAUGUCGAGAUACUUUGUAAUAUUACAUAACUCGAACCAAACGGGCCCUAAGAUUACAUAGAAUAUGAAUUAAGAUUAGGAUAAAGAUAAAACCAAAAAAUAAAAAUAAAAAUAAAAUAAAUCGGGUACAUGGACCACGCAUCGUCGCCUGCACGGCUCGACUACUGCCGUGCGUGUGUGUGUUUAGACAAGAGAAUGAAGCAAUAUAUAAAUAAUAAAUACACACCUUUAGUUUCCAAUGUGGGACUAAAGUUACUAAACCUCACAUAUGAAAACUUUAGUUGGACUUCCGAGCAAGGCCCAUCAAGUAUUAGACUGCCCAAGAGACCUAAUAAGUUUUAAAUCACCAAAAAUCCAAUAAACUCUAACAAAAACUACAGUUAAAUUAAAGUGAGAGAUCCUAACAAACUUGGAGUUAUGAUAGACAAAAACAACAUUUUCACCAUGUAUUGUGCUGUUUGAACUUUGUACUAAGUCGCAGCUAGCUAAAAAAACUUUGUAUUAAUUCUAAAAUCAUCAUAUAUAAUGUAGUAUUUAGAAAUUAAGUGGCAUAAACAACUACCAUCAAGCCUUUAAAACUUGUUAGUAUGUGUCAUGGAAGGAUAGUGAUAUAUUGUUCAAAUCGAAAGCCUGCUUGUCGAAACUAGGAGAAAAAUGAGGACACAUUUUGAAAAAUAAUACAGUUUUGAAUCUACUAAUUAAACCUGGAAAUUAAAUUCCUAUAAUAACUUUUGAUGCAAAAGUGUUUGAUUGAUACAAAGAACGACUAAACGAUCGAUGCAAGAAAAGUUCGACAAAUUCUGGUUUGUUUUCCUCAGAAUUUCUUAAACCAAGUUUUGUUAAUUAAGCUUUGUUUAAAACAUGGAUUAAUUGAUUCAAAACCUUGAUCUCUUGUUCAAUUUGUUCUUCUAAUUAAAAGGGGCUUAGGAUCAAUGGCUUUUGGUUCCUCUUUAUCAUCUUAUCCACUUACAAAACGAUUCAAUAUUUGAUUAAAGUUUUGGAGUGGAAGGUUUGUGUCUCUCUUUUAUGUUCCCCACUAUUCUACAUAAGCACUAUGUGUCACAUUUUAUAUAACCAAAAUGUUGGUUAAUUAGCCUACACCAAUGCAUUCAAUUCCCUCUCUUCUUUUUGUUAUGUAUUUUCUCCCUAAUCAUUGUGUCUUUAGCCUUAAUGCUUUUCUUUGUUAGUGCUUCCUUUUGUAUCUAAUGCGUCGCAUUUGUAUCUAAUGCGUUUCUGUGACAAGCAUUAGAGCCGCUUAAUUUCUUCGAGUUCAUCGCAACAUCAAACAGUUGCAACAAAAUUUCUCCUUUAACUACAUUAAAAAAAAAACAAGUUAUUGCCUAUAAAUUGUCGAGGAGCGUAUGUCGAGAUUCUAUGUCUUCUUUCAACAACAUGAUUAUUAUCAUUAUUAUUAUUAUUAUUUUUCUAAUGAAGGUUAAGGCAUAUAUACUAAUGAUUUUGUAGAUUCUACAUACAAUAUACGAUUCCCUUAACAUUUCCUUAAUUUAUUAUCUUGUUCUGGUGGUUUCUUUUGGAAUUAUACUCAAAAUAUAUACGAUCCAUCGCACACGAAACUGCUUCGCUUUUUCUCAUUUAUAAGCUUGACAUAGAGAAGAUAUAUAUAUAUAUAUAUAUAUAUAUAUAUAUAAAACUUAUAUGUUAGUGAAGCUACAUGAAGUUACUAGUUUAAAAUUUUUUUUUUUUUUUUUUUUAACUCAAAUGUUAAACAAUGUUGAAUACCCCGGUGGAUAUAAAUUUUUAAGGGGCAAUUGCCUAUAUACCUCUGAAAAGUUUUCGAUUUUCUUAUUACCCCUCGUAUAAGACUAAUAUUGAAAAUAAGCCUUCUUUAUGUUCCAAGUCUUUAUAUAUUCCUGGAGUUAAUUUCCGUCAGUUAGUUGCCGUUAUCUCUGAAAAAUUAUCAUUCUUGCCAAUUCCAAUUUACCCUUGUACCGUAACUAACUUAUCUUAUAUACCUUUCAUAUAGCAAAUAUUUUUCUUAUUUGUCUCUUCAAAUAUCAAUUAAUUAAUUAAGCAGAUCGGGAGCUGAGCAGACGAAAGGAUGAGAUCGAUCGCAGCUAAACCAACCUUAGUGGCUGGAGGCAUAGUUAGUUAAUUCGGAUUCGGCAAAAAUUCGGUACAGAUAUAAUUCGAUAAAAUUCGUCUUUUAAUUUUUAAAUUCGUUGAAAAAUACGGCUAAAAAACGGAUUCAACAAUUAUUCGGAUACCGUGAUUUAUACUGGUAUUAUACGUUCACCAAUUAAAAAUUCGGGAUAAAAAAUUUGGCUAUAUAAUAAAUAUAUAAUAAUUAAUAUACUAUAUAUAUUUAUUAUAAUUUUAUAUAUAGAUUAAAUAUAUUUAAAAUUAUAAUAAACAUAUAUUAAUAAUAUAUAAGAGUUAUAUAUUUAAAAAUAUUAAUAAAUAAUUACAAAUUUAUAAAUAAAAUAUUAUAUAAUAAUAUUUCUCUAUAUAAAUAAAAUACUACUAUAAUAUAUAUUUAUAAAUAAAUUUUAUAUAUAUAUAUAUAUAUAUAUAUAUAAUAUAUAUAUAUAAUAUAUUUGAGCUAGAAUACUCUCAAAAGCACUAAGACGGUGGUGCUUUUGGAUUUUUAGCGAUUGGAUGGAGAGAUGUAUGGUUGGGAUGAUGGUGUAGGUGGUGGUAGGUGAAUAGUAUUUGAUCCAAGGGCUAUUAGAAAUUAAGGAGUAGAUCCAAGGGCUUAAAAACUUAGAAGCACUAAGAAGGUGGUGCUUCUAAAAAAGUUUCUAGCUCAAUUAUAUAAUAUAUAUAUAUAUAUAUAUAUAUAUAUAUAUAUAUAUAUAUAUAUAUAUAUAUAUAUGUCCACGAGGCCAAAUUGGCCUCGUGGACCGUGCACACCACUGCUCCGCCCUGCCGCACGAGGACAAGGAUGAAGGCCACCACUCGAGAGCGAGCACAAUGGCGCCGCCCUGCCGCACGUGCACUCCAUCUCGGCGGUAAACCUCAUGGGGAAGAGCGCGCCGGCGAGGCCAGGGUAAAGCGAGGUCGAAGGCGCCGCGAAGAAAGGGAGAUGUGGGGGUCGCGCUGGCUGACGAGCGGGGGAAUCGAGGAGGUCGACGCCGGUGACGUCGGCGACCGCCGAAUCGCGGAGGCGCGACCGACUGGUCGCGCUGGCGGAGACACAAGAGGACCGCGGAGGAGUUUGGAGAGGAGGCGGAAGGCGCGGAGGGAGGAGAACACAGCAGUGGAGAGGAGACGGCUGGCAGGAUUGUCGCUGCGGCCCUCUUGCUCUCGGCGCCUGCCAAGGUGGCGGAGGAGACACGACGGGAGCGAUUAUUUGGCCGAAGAGAAAGAGAGGAUAAGUUAAGAAAGAGAGGAUAAGUUAAGGAAAUAGUUUAAUAGAUAGAGACAAAAUAUGUAUUUUAAUUAGGUUUUAACUUUGGUAUACAUUUAACCCAUAAUUGACCCGAGUUAGUUUAAUAGGACUAACUGCAAGGGUUAUUUGGAAUAACGGUGGAACAUAUGAGGGGCAUUUUAGAAAGAAAAAAAAAAAAGGGUAGAUCGAAUAUUUUCAGACCGCAUGAGGGGUAUAUAGGCAAUUAUCCCAUUUUUUAAAAUCGAAUACCUAAGUAAAGAAAGAGAUUAUAUGUUGCCAAAUAAAUCCUCCAUAUAUAUAUAUUAUAUAUAUAUAUAUAUAUAUAUAUAUAUAUAUAUAUAUAUAUAUAUAUAUAUAUAUAUAUAUAUAUUAUAUAUAUAUAUAUAUAAUAUAUAUAUUAUAGUGGGUGUUUGGUCUAGCUUUUGAAAAUAAUUCUGGGCUCAAAAGUGAUUUUCGGUUCAAUAGAGUGUUUGGCAAUUUUGUUUUUAAAAUCUAAUUCUAAUUUUUAAGAAUUAGUUUUAAAAACUUGCUUCUUAAAAUUUGAUUCUGAUUCUGAACUUAAACUUUAAAAUUUUAUUUUAAUUUUCGAUUCAAAUCUUAAAUUUAAUUUUAAAUUUUAUGUUUUGAAUUUAAUUUUAAAUUUUUAAAUUUCAAAUUUUAAUUUUUAAAUUUAUUUUUAAAAUUUAUUUUUAAAAUUUAAAAUUUAAAAUUUGAAAUUUAAAAUUUGAAAUUUGAAAUUUGAAAUUUGAAAUUUGAAAUUUGAAAUUUUACAUUUUAAAUUUAAAUUUUAAAUUUUAAAUUUAAUUUAAAAUUUAAAAUUUAAAAUUUAUAUUUUAAAUUUUAAAUUAAAAAUUUAUAUUUAGCUUUAAAAAUUGUAAUUUCUAAAUUUUCAAUUUUCAAAUUUAUUUUUUAAAUUAAAAUAUCAAAUUUUAAAUUUUGUACAAGUUUUAAAUUUUAUAUUUUAAUUCAUAUUUUAAAUUUCUUUACAAUAAAAUAUAGUAAAAAUAUUAUUAUAUGCAAAUAUCAAAAUCACUUCUCCAAACUAAAAUCACUUCAGAAAAUCGUUUUUAUCUAAACUCAGCCAAAUGCUUCAAAAUCACUUCUCUAAACUAAAAUUAAUUAUGUAGAAAUCACUUUUUUAGAAUCUAGGCUAAAAAGUUUUACAUGUAUGGAUUGGUAUGCAAAAUAAUUUGCAUUACAUAUUGCUGUGCAAAAUAAAAUGAUAACUAAAAUUAAUAUGAAAAAUUACAAAUGAUAUUAAUAUUUAAACAUAUAAUAAGAUCAACUAAACUUUUAUAUUUGACACAAAUUAGAGUAAGCACACGCAUAUGAGAGAUAUACAAACUUUUAAAACUUAAAAAUAUAUAGAUGCUGGUCUUCAAGAAAAUAUAAAGAAGAAACUUUGUUGCCUAUUUAUUACAAGUUAUCUACAAUAUAAUUUGUUUUCGAUAUAACUGUCAAUCUAGUCAUAUUUAGAAAAUCUAUAUUUGUAUUUGAGCUUGACACGUGGCAAACAUAUAGAAAGUCACGUGUCAGCUUCUCACAUAGAGUUCAUAAAGGGGUCUAUUUUAGUAUAUAGUAAUAGCUAGAUUUAGAAAAUCUAUAUUUGUAUUUGACCUUGACACGUGGCAAGCAUAUAGAAAGCCACGUGUCAGCUUCUCACACAGGAUUCAUAAAGAGUUCUAUUUUAGUAUAUAGUAAUAGAAAAUCUAUAUUUGUAUUUAAGGUUGACACGUGGCAAGCAUAUAGAAAACUACGUAUCAACUUCUCACAUAGGGUUCAUAAAGGAGUCUACUUUAGUAUAUAGUAAUAGAUAGAUUUAGAAAAUCUAUAUUUGUAUUUGACCUUGACACGUGGCAAGUAUAUAGAAAGCCACGUGUCAGCUUGUCACACAGAGUUCAUAAAGGGUCAUAUUUUAGUAUAUAGUAAUAAUAUUCUAGAAAAUCUAUAUUUGUAAUUGAGCUUGAUACGUGGCAAGCAUAUAGAAAGCCACGUGUCAGCUUCUCAUAUAGGGUUCAUAAAGGGGUCUACUUUAAUAUAUAGUAAUAGAUAGAUACUCCUACAGUUAUCAUCCGUUAAAUUAACUUGGAUUAAACGUGAGUUAAAUAUCUACCAUAGUUUUAAAAAAAAAAUGCCACUUUUGCCCUUAACUUAAUUAAGGGUAAAGAAGAAAUGCUGGUGAUGGUAGAAGAAUAUAUUUGAAAAGACCAAAAAGUAAAAUAUUUUUGUACCCUUAACUUAAGGGCAAAUGAGAAAAAAUCGGUACUGGUAGAAGGGUAUAUUUGAAAGGAUAAAAUAGUAAUUUCAUAGAGAUAACAGAGUAAUUAAUAAUUUUAACUUUAGAAAUAUAUUUAAAAUAUGUUGGAACGUAAAAAAUAUAUUUUUAAUAUUAACCUUCUAAGAGGGAUAAAUUAGAAAGUUGAAAAUUUUUUAGAAAUAUAUAAGUAGUUGCCCCUUUUUUUUUUU
rnacentral:lncRNA from 1 species